UACGAAGGGGGCUAGCGUUGCUCGGAAUUACUGGGCGUAAAGGGCGCGUAGGCGGAUGUUUAAGUCAGAGGUGAAAGCCCAGGGCUCAACCUUGGAACUGCCUUUGAUACUGGGCAUCUUGAGUAUGGGAGAGGUGAGUGGAACUCCGAGUGUAGAGGUGAAAUUCGUAGAUAUUCGGAAGAACACCAGUGGCGAAGGCGACUCACUGGACACGUAUUGACGCUGAGGUGCGAAAGCGUGGGGAGCAAACAGG
rnacentral:rRNA from 1 species